CAAUCGAGUGGCAUCCAGCCUCAGAAAACUUGGGGCGCCACCGUUGA
rfam:Hepatitis C virus subtype 6e N12-2804-Cam gene for polyprotein, complete cds